UGGGGGAUAUUGCACAAUGGGCGAAAGCCUGAUGCAGCGACGCCGCGUGGGGGAUGAAGGCCUUCGGGUUGUAAACUUCUUUUGCUCUGAACAAGGCAUACUAAUGGGUGUGUUGAGUGUAGGGGUUGAUUAGCGCCGGCUAACUACGUGCCAGCAGCCGCGGUAAUACGUAGGGCGCGAGCGUUGUCCGGAAUUAUUGGGCGUAAAGGGCUUGUAGGUGGCUGGUUGCGUCUGUCGUGAAAGCUCAUGGCUUAACUGUGGGUUUGCGGUGGGUACGGGCUGGCUUGAGUGCAGUAGGGGAGGCUGGAAUUCCUGGUGUAGCGGUGGAAUGCGCAGAUAUCAGGAGGAAUACCGGUGGCGAAGGCGGGUCUCUGGGCUGUUACUGACACUGAGGAGCGAAAGCAUGGGGAGCGAACAGG
rnacentral:rRNA from 1 species